CUAAUACAUGCAAGUCGAGCGCGGGAAGCAAACUGAAUCCUUCGGGAGGACGUUUGUGGAACGAGCGGCGGACGGGUGAGUAACACGUGGGCAACCUGCCUGUAAGACUGGGAUAACUCCGGGAAACCGGGGCUAAUACCGGAUAAGACUUUAUCUCGCAUGAGAUAGAGAUGAAAGAUGGCUUUUAGCUAUCACUUACAGAUGGGCCUGCGGCGCAUUAGCUAGUUGGUGGGGUAAUGGCCUACCAAAGCGACGAUGCGUAGCCGACCUGAGAGGGUGAUCGGCCACACUGGGACUGAGACACGACCCAGACUCCUACGGGAGGCAGCAGUAGGGAAUCUUCCGCAAUGGACGCAAGUCUGACGGAGCAACGCCGCGUGAGUGAUGAAUGUCUUCGGAUUGUAAAACUCUGUUGUUAGGGAAGAACAAGUACCGGAGUAACUGCCGGUACCUUGACGGUACCUAACCAGAAAGCCCCGGCUAACUACGUGCCAGCAGCCGCGGUAAUACGUAGGGGGCGAGCGUUGUCCGGAAUUAUUGGGCGUAAAGGGCGCGUAGGCGGUCUCUUAAGUCUGAUGUGAAAGCCCCCGGCUUAACCGGGGAGGGUCAUUGGAAACUGGGAGACUUGAGUGCAGGAGAGGGAAGCGGAAUUCCAUGUGUAGCGGUGAAAUGCGUAGAGAUAUGGAGGAACACCAGUGGCGAAGGCGG
rnacentral:rRNA from 1 species